rnacentral:piRNA from 1 species
UACGAUUAUUUUUGCUGCUUCACAUA